CUGGGGAAUCCUUCCUUCCUUGCUGCCUAUAUUCAGAAACCUUAAGCAUAGAAUAGAUGCACUGAGUGGAUAAAUGGUUAAUGGCCAAAUUUUCACUGAAGCUUUUCAAGUAAGAACAUAAGGCUGUGGCCUCAGAAGUAAGGAGUACCCCGAAUCUGCUCACCUGGGUGUCCCUGAGGAAGGUCAGAUGCCACAUGAGGAGCUGCAAGAACAACAGUCCUCUGAAGAUGCAGUCUGAUCUUGUAUGGCACCAAACCCCUUCUGUGAAAUGACAAGAAUCUCAAAUUCUGAUGCAUGAAGAAUUCUGAACACCACAAGAAAUUCUCCUCAUGGGCCUUAAUGAU
rnacentral:lncRNA from 1 species